GAGAGAUAGAAGAUCUGGAGGAGGAGCAGAGAAGCUGGGAAUCUUGGUGGGCUUCGUGGUGCAUUGUGGGUGCCUCAUGGCUGCUCCACUCUUCUAGUUGCCAUUUGACUCUAGAGAAGAGGAUCAGCAAAGACUCUCCUAAGAUUUCCUGGAACAAUCCUCUAUCCCUUCCUGGUUUUCUGUCCAACCAUCUGCAGAAGAGUGGGUCAGACAGUGAGAAGCACCGGAUGAAAAAGAUCUCAGUAUGUACCUACAUCCUCUCAGAAUGAUGCAUUUAUCGGAUCAAGAAAUGGUGGAAAUUGGCACAAAUGACCAGCACAGAUGAUGUGAACUUCCUGCCAUGAAAAGAGGACCUAAAAGCCAGUAAAAUGGUUUAAAUUUGUGCUGGUUUAUUCCUCUAAGCGGAUGUGUCUCGCUUAUCAUUUGUUUUAAUUAUUCCUGAUGUGUUGCCUAUCACAUCACAGGCUUCUUCAAAGGGAAAGGAAUAAGCAGUUGUCAUAACAACAAAGCUCUUCAUUACCCUGGGAACCUUCGACAGCUUUAUUUAAAAUGAAGGAGAAAAAAGAACCCUAACCAAUUAGCUUUAUCAGUCUGAUUCAUGUUCUUAAACUGAUAACAGUGUUUCCUGAAGAACUUACAAUUUGAUGGGGACUGUGUCAUGAAUAUUUAUGGUAACAUAAAACUCGGG
rnacentral:lncRNA from 12 species